rnacentral:rRNA from 1 species
GACGAGGGGCCAGCGUUGUUCGGAAUUACUGGGUGUAAAGGGUUCGUAGGCGGUGCGGCAAGUUGGGAGUGAAAUCUCUGGGCUUAACCCAGAGGCUGCUUCCAAAACUGCUGUGCUUGAGUGUGGGAGAGGCGCGUGGAAUUGCAGGUGUAGCGGUGAAAUGCGUAGAUAUCGGAAGGAACACCGGUGGCGAAGGCGGCAUGCCGGACCUCAACUGACGCUGAGGCGCGAAAGCCAGGGGAGCAACGGG